rnacentral:rRNA from 1 species
ACUUGCAAGUUCGAGCGAAUGGAUUAAGAGCUGUGCUCUUAUGAAGUUAGCGGCGGACGGGUGAGUAACACGUGGGUAACCUGCCCAUAAGACUGGGAUAACUCCGGGAAACCGGGGCUAAUACCGGAUAACAUUUUGAACCGCAUGGUUCGAAAUUGAAAGGCGGCUUCGGCUGUCACUUAUGGAUGGACCCGCGUCGCAUUAGCUAGUUGGUGAGGUAACGGCUCACCAAGGCAACGAUGCGUAGCCGACCUGAGAGGGUGAUCGGCCACACUGGGACUGAGACACGGCCCAGACUCCUACGGGAGGCAGCAGUAGGGAAUCUUCCGCAAUGGACGAAAGUCUGACGGAGCAACGCCGCGUGAGUGAUGAAGGCUUUCGGGUCGUAAAACUCUGUUGUUAGGGAAGAACAAGUGCUAGUUGAAUAAGCUGGCACCUUGACGGUACCUAACCAGAAAGCCACGGCUAACUACGUGCCAGCAGCCGCGGUAAUACGUAGGUGGCAAGCGUUAUCCGGAAUUAUUGGGCGUAAAGCGCGCGCAGGUGGUUUCUUAAGUCUGAUGUGAAAGCCCACGGCUCAACCGUGGAGGGUCAUUGGAAACUGGGAGACUUGAGUGCAGAAGAGGAAAGUGGAAUUCCAUGUGUAACGGUGAAAUGCGUAUAGAUAUGUAGGAACACCAGUGGCGAAAGCGACUUUCUCGUCUGUAACUGACACUGAGGCGCGAAANNGUGGAGNNCAAACCGGAUUAGAUACCCUGGUAGUCCACGCCGUAGACGAUGNNNGCUAAGUGUUGAAUGUGUUCCGCCCUUUUAUGCUAGGGUUNANGCCUUGAACACUGCGCCCUGG